UACAGGGGGUGCAAACGUUGCUCGGAAUCAUUGGGCGUAAAGCGCACGUAGGCGGUCUGUUAUGUCGGAUGUGAAAGCCCUCGGCUUAACUGAGGAAGUGCAUCCGAAACUGGCAGGCUAGAGUACUAAAGAGGGUCGCGGAAUUCCCGGUGUAGAGGUGAAAUUCGUAGAUAUCAGGAGGAACACCGGUGGCGAAGGCGG
rnacentral:rRNA from 1 species